rnacentral:misc_RNA from 1 species
GUGAAUCAUCGAAUCUUUGAACGCAUAUUGCGCCCUUUGGUAUUCCGAAGGGCAUGCCUGUUCGAGCGUCAUUAUCAACCAUCAAGCCUGGCUUGUCGUUGGACCCUUUUGCCACUGAAAUAUGUGACAGGUCCGAAAGAAAAUGACGGUGUCGUGUUUGACCCUAAAUGCAACGAGCUUUUUAUAGCACGCAUUGAAGUGAUCGGCCGACCCAGUCUUUAACUAUCAUUUUUCUAAGGUUGACCUCGGAUCAGGUAGGAAUACCCGCUGAACUUAAGCAUAUCAAUAAGCGGAGGA